UUUUUCCUUAAAAUAUUUAUCUUCAUCAAACCUCUUUUUUGAUGCCUUGUAAAAUUCCUGGAGGUCUCCAAUUGCUUGCUCACCAGCAUCCUCCCAAUUUGGAAACUUUUCAAAUAAAUAUUCAAUCAACAUCCCAAACUGAGUACCCCAGUCACCAACAUGAUUCCUUCGAAGAACCUCAACUUCCGAAAACUCUAGCAUGCG
rnacentral:misc_RNA from 1 species